AUGACACAUCAGUCGGAGUUAUGGCCAGUAGAUGGAAGGUUUGAGCAUAUAGUUCUUUCUUACAAUGCUACAUCAGUACAUGCCAUUAUUUGGAUAGAGAAAGAGGCUCAAAGGGAUUUAAAUUUGAUGUUGGAGAAAGAUAAUACCAUGGAAUUAUUGUCCUGGACUAAAAUUCAUUCCCUCAUUUUUUAUUUUUGGUAG